AACGGCGAGCGAACGGGGAACAGCCCAUCGCCAGAUCCGCCGCCUUCCUGGCGGAACGGACAUUUGGCGUAUGGGAGAGACGCUUCCGGGUACCGGCAGCCGGUGCAAGUCCCCCUGACUGGGGCUCCUACCCCGAGAGGGUGCAAGGCCCGUAGCGGCCGGAGGUCGGUUCCGGAUGUCCUCUCCUGGGAGUCGGGUUGCUUGGGAUUGCAGCCCUAAUCAGGUGGUAAACUCCAUCUAAGGCUAAAUACGACCUGGAGACCGAUAGCGAACAAGUACCGUGAGGGAAAGUUGAAAAGGACUUUGAAGAGAGAGUUCAAGAGUACGUGAAACCGUUCGGAGGUAAACGAGUGGGCCCUCGAAGUACGAAGGCGGGGGGACUCAGCCGGGCGCAGCUGCUUGGCGGGGUCUGCGUGCUUCCCUACCAGGACGCGCGGCCUCGUCGUCUUGCAUCUGUGCGCGGCGCAUUUCUUCCCGUCCUCUGACGCUGCGACCGGUCGGGUGCGCCACGAGCAGUCGGCCUUACUCGCAGGAGCCGGCAGGUAGCCGGUUGUUCAGGUCUUCGGGCCGCGGCAACCGGUGUUUAGCCGUCCUGCAAUCGAGAAGCCGUUCACCCGACCGCAGGACCCGGCCCUCAGGGGCCUCGCCGCACCCUUCCCGAGUGGAAUCGGUUCUCGUACCGGAAGGGAGGCCGUCGUUUCCCGCCGCUUCACCUUUGGUGUUCGGCGGUCGGCGGCGCCCGUUCGCCGGAUGGAUUCCGAGCGGGUGCAGGCGGUCAGCAGCGAGUAGGUCGGUCACCCACUCGACCCGUCUUGAAACACGGACCAAGGAGUUUAACAUGCGCGCGAGUCAUUGGGACGUGAACAGGCCCAAAGGCGCAAUGAAAGUGAAGGGCGGCUUUUCGCCGUCUGCGUUGGGAUCCGUCGACCUCGGUCGGCGGCGCACCAACGGCUCGUCCGAGCCGCCACGUCGGCCGGGCGAAGCUAGAGCGCGCACGUUGAGACCCGAAAGAUGGUGAACUAUGGCUGGGCAGGACGAAGCCAGAGGAAACUCUGGUGGAGGUCCGCAGCGGUUCUGACGUGCAAAUCGAUCGUCAGACCUGGCUAUAGGGGCGAAAGACUAAUCGAACCAUCUAGUAGCUGGUUCCCUCCGAAGUUUCCCUCAGGAUAGCUGGCUCUCGGAAGGAAGCAGUCUCAUCCGGUAAAGCGAAUGAUUAGAGGCCUUGGGGCCGAAAAGACCUCAACCUAUUCUCAAACUUUCAAUGGGUGAGAAGUCCGGUUUGCUCGAUUGAAGCCUGGACAUUCUUGGAUGCGAGUGCCAAGUGGGCCACUUUUGGUAAGCAGAACUGGCGCUGUGGGAUGAACCAAACGACGGGUUAAGGGGCCCGAUGCAGGACGCUCAUGAGAACCCAUGAAAGGUGUUGGUUGCUAUAGACAGCAGGACGGUGGCCAUGGAAGUCGGAAUCCGCUAAGGAGUGUGUAACAACUCACCUGCCGAAGCAACUAGCCCUGAAAAUGGAUGGCGCUUCAGCGUCGACCCCAUACCCGUCCGCUGCGGCGGAGAUGCGAUCGCAUUAUGCCGCGGUGAGUAGGAGGGCGCGGGGGCGUGCGUGGAAGGUGCCGGGCGUAAGCCCGCCUGGAGCCGCCCCCGGUGCAGAUCUUGGUGGUAGUAGCAAAUACUCAAGUGAGAACCUUGAGGACUGAGGUGGAGAAGGGUUCCAUGUGAACAGCAGUUGAACAUGGGUCAGUCGGUCCUAAGGGAUGUCCGAAAGGAUUUCCGAAGGGGGGAUCUGUACGCAGUACCCCUCCGCGACCGAAAGGGAAUCGGGUUAAUAUUCCCGAACCCGGACACGGAGAUCGGCUCCUUAGGGAGCACUUGCGGUAACGCAAACGACCUCGGAGACGUCGACGGGGGUCCCGGGAAGAGUUGUCUUUUCUUUGUAAGGGUUCGGUUCCCUGGAAUCGGCUCGCCCGGAGAUAGGGAUGCUGGACCCGUAAAGCACCGCGCCUCUUGUGGUGUCCGGAGCGCUCCCGUCGGCCCUUGAAAAUCCGAGCGAGAGGUGGUGAUUUUCGUGCCGGCCCGUACCCAUAUCCGCAGC
rnacentral:rRNA from 1 species